CCUACGGGAGGCAGCAGUGGGGAAUAUUGCACAAUGGGGGGAACCCUGAUGCAGCGACGCCGCGUGAGUGAAGAAGUAUCUCGGUAUGUAAAGCUCUAUCAGCAGGGAAGAAAAUGACGGCACGUGACUAAGAAGCCCCGGCUAACUACGUGCCAGCAGCCGCGGCAAUACGGAGGGGGCAAGCGUUAUCCGGAUUUACUGGGUGUAAAGGGAGGGCAGUCGGCUGUGCAAGUCUGGAGGGAAAGGCGGGGGCCCAACCCCCGGACUGCUGUGGAAACUGUAAAGCUGGAGUGCAGGAGAGGUAAGCGGAAUGCGUGGUGUAGCGGUGAAAUGCGUAGAUAUUAGGAGGAACACCGGUGGCGAAGGCAGCUUACUGGACUGCAACUGACGUUGAGGCUCGAAAGCGUGGGGAGCAAACAGGAUUAGAUACCCUUGUAGUC
rnacentral:rRNA from 1 species